UNGGACUAACUAUGGAACUAUGAAGAUGA
rnacentral:piRNA from 1 species